UUCUGGGACUUACCAUGGUUACUAGGGGUGGCAUGUAUGUGUUUCAGCUCUUUGACUACUAUGCAGCCAGCGGUGUGUGCCUUUUGUGGGUUGCAUUCUUUGAAUGUAUUGCUGUUGCCUGGGUUUAUGGCGUUGAUAAUUUCUAUGAUGCG